CUGGAAAGUCCGACGAUACAGGGUGAUAGUCCCGUAGUUGACGACGUGUGUUCAGUGAAAUCGAGUAGGGCGGGACACGUGAUAUCCUGUCUGAAUAUGGGGGGACCAUCCUCCAAGGCUAAAUACUACUGACUGACCGAUAGUGAACCAGUACCGUGAGGGAAAGGCGAAAAGAACCCCUGUGAGGGGAGUGAAAUAGAACCUGAAACCGUGUACGUACAAGCAGUAGGAGCA
rnacentral:rRNA from 1 species